rnacentral:rRNA from 1 species
UACGUAGGGUGCAAGCGUUAAUCGGAAUUACUGGGCGUAAAGCGUGCGCAGGCGGCUUUGCAAGACAGAUGUGAAAUCCCCGGGCUCAACCUGGGAACUGCAUUGGAAACUGGCGAGCUUGAAUGCGGCAGAGGGGGGUGGAAUUCCGCGUGUAGCAGUGAAAUGCGUAGAGAUGCGGAGGAACACCGAUGGCGAAGGCAGCCCCCUGGGCCGACAUUGACGCUCAGGCACGAAAGCGUGGGGAGCAAACAGG